UACAGAGGUCUCAAGCGUUGUUCGGAUUCAUUGGGCGUAAAGGGUGCUUAGGUGGCGCCGUAAGUCAGGUGUGAAAUCUCGGGGCUCAACCCCGAAACUGCACUUGAUACUGCGGUGCUCGAGGACUGGAGAGGAGAUUGGAAUUUACGGUGUAGCAGUGAAAUGCGUAGAUAUCGUAAGGAAGACCAGUGGCGAAGGCGAAUCUCUGGACAGUUACUGACACUGACGCUGAGUGCGCGAAAGCCAGGGGAGCAAACGGG
rnacentral:rRNA from 1 species